rnacentral:rRNA from 1 species
GAUGAACGCUAGCGGGAGGCUUAACACAUGCAAGUCGAGGGGCAGCAUAGGGUAGCAAUACUCUGAUGGCGACCGGCAAACGGGUGAGUAACGCGUAUGUAACCUACCCUGUACAGGGGGAUAACCCGGAGAAAUUCGGACUAAUAUCCCAUAACAAUAUCCGGGGCAUCUUUGGAUAUUUAAAGUUCCGGCGGUACGGGAUGGGCAUGCGUAACAUUAGCUAGUUGGUAAGGUAACGGCUUACCAAGGCUUUGAUGUUUAGGGGUCCUGAGAGGGUGGUCCCCCACACUGGUACUGAGACACGGACCAGGACUCCUACGGGAGGCAGCAGUGAGGAAUAUUGGUCAAUGGGCGCAAGCCUUGAACCAGCCAUCCCGCGUGCAGGAAGACGGCGCUAUGCGUUGUAAACUGCUUUUCCAGGGAAGAAACUUGCGCACGUGUUGCGCAAUUGACGGUACCCUGGGAAUAAGCAAUCGGCUAACUCCGUG